GUUUUUUUGGUGGUGAGGGAUUAGUGGCGAACGGGGUGAGUAAUUACGGCGGGCAACUGCCCCCUCUGCUUCGGGAUAAGCUUUGGAAAACGGGGGUCUAAUCCCGGAUGUGCCUGUCUGGUUCGCAUGACUGGGCGGGGGAAAGAUUUUUUCGGCGGGGGAUGGGCUCGCGGCCUAUCAGCUUUGUUGGUGGGGUGACAGCCUACCAAGGCGUCGACGGGUAGCCGGCCUGAGAGGGUGGUCGGCCCACACUAGGACUGAGAUACGGCCCAGACUCCUACGGGAGGCAGCAGUGGGGGAUAUAGCACAAUGGCGCAAGCCUGAUGCAGCGACGCCGCGUGGGGGAUGGAGGCUUUCGGGUUGUAAACCCCUUACGGCGCGGGACAAGGCUCCGUUUGGCGGGGUUGAGGGUACGCGUCAAAGAAGCGCCGGCUAACUACGUGCCAGCAGCCGCGGUAAUACGUAGGGCGCGAGCGUUGUCCGGAAUUAUUGGGCGUAAAGGGCUCGUAGGCGGCUUGUCGCGUCUGCUGUGAAAACGCGGGGCUCAACUCCGCGCGUGCAGUGGGUACGGGCAGGCUGGAGUGCGGCAGGGGUGGCUGGAAUUCCUGGUGUAGCGGUGGAAUGCGCAGAUAUCAGGAAGAACAGCGAUGGCGAAGGCAGGCCACUGGGCCGUCACUGACGCUGAGGAGCGAAAGCGUGGGGAGCGAACAGG
rnacentral:rRNA from 1 species